rnacentral:ncRNA from 1 species
UAGAUAGAGGCGCGGUUCGCAUCAGUACCUUCUGACCUUGGCAGGGUAGCCGUCAGGAGGGAAAGGGCUCACCGCCGAAGCGGAAAGCGAUCACCCCGUCGCUGCCGCUGGGCCGUCAGAGAAUAUCUGCCGGACUGUCACAAGACUUUGUGAAGCGCU